rnacentral:rRNA from 1 species
UUUGGUGACUAUAGCAGUGGGGUUCCACCUCUUCCCAUUCCGAACAGAGAAGUUAAGCCCACCCGCACCGAUGAUACUGCAGUUUUUGUGGGAAAGUAGGGGUCGCCUCUU